AGCGAACGCUGGCGGCAGGCUUAACACAUGCAAGUCGAACGGGCGUAGCAAUACGUCAGUGGCAGACGGGUGAGUAACGCGUGGGAACGUACCUUUUGGUUCGGAACAACCCAGGGAAACUUGGGCUAAUACCGGAUAAGCCCUUACGGGGAAAGAUUUAUCGCCGAAAGAUCGGCCCGCGUCUGAUUAGCUAGUUGGUGAGGUAACGGCUCACCAAGGCGACGAUCAGUAGCUGGUCUGAGAGGAUGAUCAGCCUCACUGGGACUGAGACACGGCCCAGACUCCUACGGGAGGCAGCAGUGGGGAAUAUUGGACAAUGGGCGCAAGCCUGAUCCAGCCAUGCCGCGUGGGUGAUGAAGGCCCUAGGGUU
rnacentral:rRNA from 1 species